rnacentral:ncRNA from 1 species
UUACACAUGCAAGUCUCAGCACACCCGUGAGAACGCCCUUCAAACCUUUACCAGGUCAAGGAGCUGGCAUCAGGCACUCUACCCUGCCCAUAACGCCUAGUCUUACCACACCCUUAAGGGUAAUCAGCAGUGAUAGAUCUUGUGUAUAAGCAACAGCUUGACUCAGUUAAAGAAAAGAGGGCUGGCUAACCCGGUGCCAGCCGCCGCGGCUACACCGCUGGAGCCCAAGUUAAUAACAACCGGCGUUAAGCGUGAUUAAAGUUUUGUAAAAUUAGAGUUAAAUUAAUACUUAGCAGUGACAAGCUUGUUAUUAAGAAAAUCAUACACGAAGGUUACUCUAAUAUACUUGAAUACACGACAGCUGGGGCCCAAACUGGGAUUAGAUACCCCACUAUGCCCAGCCGUAAACAAUUAACUCACACCAACUAACGCCAGGGAACUACGAGCCAUGCUUAAAACCCAAAGGACUUGACGGUGUCCCAUCCACCUAGAGGAGCCUGUUCUAUAAUCGAUGAUCCCCGCUAUACCUUACCCCUUUUUGCUUUCUCAGCCUGUAUACCUCCGUCGAAAGCCUACCAUAUGAACGUGUAUAGUAGGCUCAAUGAUUAUAUUUACAUCAAAACGUCAGGUCAAGGUGCAGCUCACGAAGUGGUGAGAAAUGGGCUACAGUUUCUAAUAUAGAACAAACGGAAGGUUAUGUGUAACCAUAAUCAUGAAGGCGGAUUUAGUAGUAAGAAGAAAAUAGAGUGUUCUUCUUAACCCGGCUCUGGGACGCGUACACACCGCCCGUCACCCUCUUCAAUGACUUAAACUUAGAUUUAUAA